AUUGUGCAGAACGUUGAGGAAAACCAUUCUAACCAUGUUUGUUUCAACUCAAAUAGGGUUCAGUUGUGGUUGAUGUCGGCGCCAUUGCAUGAGUACAAAUUAUAGUUUCUGGUGAUGCCAUUAGAGGUCUCUUUCCAGGAAGUAUGGUUGACGCAAGAAAUAAAGGAUUCAAUUUGCAAUAGCUAAUAUUGUCAUAGUUAUAUUUCAAACAUAAAAAAAAACAGAUAUGGAGCAAAAUGAAUAAUUAUGAAAGAGGAAAUUAUGGAUGUAUACAAGUAUAAAGUAUUUAUAAUCAGACGUUGGAAUCGCAAUUGAUAUCAAACUGCUUCUAUAUAAUUGUUCAGAAGUUUUCGUUUUGUACGCAUCAUAAGAGCUGAAAGUGAUUAAUUCCCAGCAUGAGAUAUGGAUUAAGCCACCGCUUAUCAUUGGCACAUAACCUAUAAUACAAAAAGAGAAUCUAAUAGAAGACGAACUGAACGUUCAAAAUUUGGCGGGUAAUCGAUCGAGCGCUUAAGGAUCGAAGAUAAUCGUUUGUACGCAUAAUCGAUAUACAUGAAAUUCAAGUAUGUCGGAACAAGAUGUUCGUCAAGAAUUGAAGCUUUACGUUUCAAACGAGGCGGAGAAAACCAGAGCAACGUGAUGCGUCAAUUUCAAUCUUCAUCUUCAAAAAGAAAAAAAAAGUUAAGGCGCUCGAUGGAACAGGAACAUUAUUGAUAGUAGAAUUAUUAACCUACUAGAACUUAUAUAUCACAAUGAACAUUUGUUAGAGUAAGUUUAGGUUAGACGUUUGCAGUCACCUCAACACUUUUCAAAACCUUUAUUAAGAACAUCAUAUAUAAAGGAUGUAUAGAAUAUCCAUCAGAAGUAGAAGAACAUGGUACACAACUAUAAAGAUUUAACUCGGUAUACUCGGGUUUUCUCCGCCCAGCGAUGGCAAGUUGCGAUUACAUCACCGCCAUUGUUAUAUUCGGAGAUAGUAUUAAAUUUAUACAUCUGCAAGAUUCUAGAUAGGCGGUCAACGUCGCCCACGCAAUUAAAUCUGUGCGAUUUUAAACGAAUUAAGAAAAUAUACAUUUAUGGGCACAGGUAACGUUAGACUCUAACUGUUAGAAGAGAACAGAAAGAUCGAGAUCUCGGUGGUACGAGCUUAAGAUAACCAAGGGCUCGAGCAACCCUAGAGGAGGACGAAGUGGCAACGAAAUCAUUGAAAUCCAUCCAGGGGGUGGGUUACGAUACUCAUCGCUACAAACGCAAGAAGCUUGAUUCACAUUAAACCUGUAGAUCUACCUGUACUUCCCGGGCGCGUUCAGCUUGAAGCAGUUCCAUCAGCUGUUGAAACUUGCCGGCUUGAGGAACCUGAGACAGAGGAGGUGAGCCACCACCCGCCGCGCGAUAGCUGGUCAUACGUGUCCUCGACGAUGGUGGAUACGAAUUAACCGUGCCGUAUAAACGAGGGAUCUUAUCGAAAGGCCGGGGAGAAUGUCGCAUACCGUUUCUUAGCCGACUUCCUGCCGGCGCUUUAUGGACCAUUCUUCCAUAAAUAGGUGCGUUACCACCGGCUCGGUUACGAGGUCUUCCAGUGAAUCUUCCUGUACAAUUGUUAGGUAGUUAAGUUUGGCGCAUGUAAUCGUUAUAAAUAUUCAAUUGAAAGGGUUAAAUUAAAUAGAAGGGGUACAGCAUGUUGUUGUCAGAAUUGGAACUUCGUAUUUUAUCCAAUUAUUCGCCACCGGUUCUGCACGAAGUUUAAGUCAAAGGGCUUUUAACGAUAGCUCUAAUGUAUAGAUAGGCGCUGAUAAUCAGAUUAUUUCGUCUAUACCCCUUUGCCUGUUUGCCAUGGAAACUAAGUGGAAUUAAAUCUUGAUCAAACAGUAAAGGAAUCCGAGGGAACAUAAAGUUGAUCAAGUGGAUGAAUAUAUUACCUCGAUAGCUAAGAGGAGGCUUGGUCCGUUCGGAGUAAGACUUCCAUACGUUGUAGGAAAAUGGAUCAGGGUAAAGAGAGUAGCCAGUGGUGGUUUUAGCAGCCCUGCUCUGUCGUUUGGUAUACCUCCACAUUGCCCUCAAUUCUUCGCAUGUCGGCUCGGUCAGGUCAACGCGCUUCUCGGCGAUGUCGCCGGAGUUCCCUGAUUGCGCUGAGAUCGGAUCGAUGUAUCGUAUACCGAACGCGAAUGGGCUGUUCGAGUACGCUAACACGAAAGCGGUCCAUACAGCUACGGCACGCAUUUUCUGGAAACGAAAGAAAUAUAUUUGUAUUUGUAAUUCCGAAUAUCAUCUACCCUCGAAGAAAGAAGACAACGUAAAGAACCACAUGGAACAAUGGAUACAAAUCUUAAUGAAACUUUCUACGAUUGAAACGAUUUCACAGAUAUCUUUCAAAAGAAUUAAUACAUUUUACAGCAAUUGAAGGAUCAGGUUUUUAUACAAUAUAGACUAAAUUGUCACUUGUAAGAAUACUCGAACUGUUAUACAUUUUCAUGCAUUAAUUAAUCGAGCAAUCAAUGAAAAUUUACAGACGAUCGAGGAAAUAGAGAAAUAAAGAAAAAAGGGGACACGAGUGUACCUGUAACAGGUGAACCUAAGUAUGCUGACAAGUAUUUGGCGGUCGAUCAGCGAACUGCGAAGGGAAGAAAACCUUUUCCACGGCGAACUUCAAUAAAUCAAGGGAAACAGCGAUCGAGCAAGGAACGCGACUCGCAUGAAUGGAGCCAGCGGACACACGAGGGUGGAAAGGAGGUAGUGAGCGAGAGAAUGGGUGAAACAGAGAGGGUAGCAAAGAAGAGGAAGGAGGUCAAGAGUGGAACGAAGAGAAACUGGUGAAUGAACGAGGGAGCCGGAUUCACUAACCUGCUAGUCCACGCAGUCCGGAAACCGAGGAGCAACUGAGAGAGAUAUUAUGCUGCUACUACUGGGUAGGAAUAAUGCAACUCUUUGAUUGCAAUGACUGAACGGAUCUAUUGAAUGCCAUGAAUCGAUGUUUGAUAUUACAUACAAGAAGAUAAGAGAAUUUUUCGUUACAUUAUGUUGACUGUGCUGAUUGAAUAUCGAAAUGUCAUUGACGUAGGUUUCAACAGAAAAUGAACGUACAAUUACAUUUAGGUAAGAUUUGGAUCCAUUAAGUAAAUAAAAAAAUAUGAGAUUUUGUUGGAUUCAGCUCCGAUAACUAUUUUUUAUCAUGCAAACUCGAGGAUGGCAGAUCGUGGACAAGCUUACGGCUAAGUUCCGGUCCGCCUGCGCAACAAGUUUCUCCCUGGGACUUAAAAUCGUUGUAGCCCGCAUCCUCAGCCUAAAUGAGAAAUAGUUGCGCCGUUGAAGAACCUGCUUUAUCAAAAAUCAAUGUCCAAUUUGUGUCUGAUUUUAUGAAAACAAAAUAAGUGUGUAUUCGUUGAAAACUUGAUUGGCUGACUACUUGCAGGAUCAAUCUACUCUCCUCCUCCUUUAGGACAAAGUGGUUAUGCCUGCAUUGGUGCGUAUAAUCGAAGACAGGGGGUGAACUCCCUCCCCCUCCCCCUCGUUAACCACCCACGGUAUUCCAGUAAUCGGGGCUACCGUCCCUCUUCUUCGCUCCCUUUACCCCGUCAUCUUUCAAGGCCCCUUCCCCUCCGCCAACCCCGUGUCUCAGCAGUGCGGCUGCUGAAUGACCGAAAGUGGGGGUAACUCAUCUCUUCCAACCACCCACGCAAUCAAUAGCAGCCUUGCUGCUUCUACUGAAUGGACUCUGCCCUCCACGGUCUCCACUGCUCUUCGUCUGCUUCGUGCCGGCUUCUAUUCCUUCUCACCCUCACUCUAUCGAUUACUACGCCCUUGCCGUGUGAUCCUGCGGGGGGCUGCUCUAUCGACCCAUCCACCUGUAUUACAGUUCAUUCAUAAAUCUUAGCUGCUUUUCACUCGAGAAUCACGGCCGCAUUUUUUUUCACUCGAUUACAGAUAUGAAAUGCCUGCUUUGUGCUUCAUUGUAAUCGGUAUCAUCGAUACAACAGUGUUUAUUGUACAUUAUUAUAAUGCUCGUAAACGUUUCAGUUAAUAAUAGCACGAAGCACGUGCGCGAGUGGGGAAUGUCAGCCUGCUGUAUCAUAUCUUUCUUCCAUAGUUUAACCCUUUGUCAUCCGAACGUGCCUUGCAUCUACUUUUAUAUAUGUAUAUUAAAUUUGUGAAAGUUCAAAGUUCAAAUAGGUCAAAUUUCAAGAUAAAUUAUAGCUGGAUAUGUUGCUUUUAAUAUGAGAUGGACAAGGAAUGCAAUAUCCUUCUUUUUUCUGGUCAGUGAAGGAACGUUUCAUCAAAUUCUUUCCCUUCCUCUGAUUUCUUUGUCUGGCAAAUAGAAACAGCUGACAGUGUUAUCCAAUAUAGUGGUCUUCUAGACAAUCAUUUCACGGUGGAGCUGAUAAAGAGGUGCUUCAAAAAAACACCCGCGUGAUGUUAUUGAGCGAACGCUGAAUAUUUCGGCUUGAAAUUCGUGGUACUCAGAAACUGAUUGGCAUUUAAUCAAUUCAGCCCUUUGUGGGUAGAGUUCAGGGGUUUGGUAUUACAAAAUCAUAAGGGAUGUAAUGGAAGAGAUAGAAACGUUUUUCUAAAUAGUUAAUAAAUUCAUUUAUUACAUUUUUGUUAAAUACUGUACAUUAUUCUAUUAGUUUUAAAUGCUCGUGUACGAAUUUGCUAGUAAGCAACUAGAGGUCUACAAUUUAUUACAAGCUACAAAUUGCGAGACAUAAUUUAGAGUUUUAUAUUGGAUUUCAAGUUAAUUUAUCAUCUAAUUAAUUUCACACGGUCACUUACACAUGGAACUUACAGUAUCGAAUGUUGCAAUGUCGUUAUAAAAUAUUUAUGUGAUGCAAUAUGUGAAUAUAAUAAUUUCACACCCUUAUGCUAUGUGUAACUGUUAUAUCGAAGCUUAGUGUGAUUAAAACAAUAUUCUAUAAAUAUAGAAAUACUUUAGAACAUCGAUACAAAAAACACCAUUUCGUAUUUCACAUUUGAGCCGAGAAUCGCGAUGAUUUUAUUUUGAUUUCAGGGUAUAAAUUAAUCGUGAACUCAUGUAAAAUCAACACUGCAUUUAAUUGAACCUAGUACUUUUUUUCUCCCUUUUUUUUUCUCUUAAUACUUUGGAAAGAUUGUUCACUUAUUCUUUAGAUUUCUAACAAUUAACUAUAAUGCACAAAAACGUGUGUGUAUGUGUGUCACAUUCGACGUUUACACGUUAGUAAAACACCAAUGUUACAAUUUGUAUGACAUGUAUCCGGUAUACUUUAAAAGAGACGUAAAAAAAAAAAAAAAAAAAAAAAAACAACAACACAUGAAUUGUACGCAAUUGUUUGGUCCUUAACCGCUCGUGGAAGAUCAUCUCUCACUGCUCCAGUAGCUCUUACCGAUAACUUCUACAAACAUACAGAUUUUCUUAAGCCAUAUGCAAUUGUAAUUUCAUCGUAUAGAAAGUGAUAGUAAAUGCGUCAGCAUUCAGCGAACGUACCAUUACUUACCUGUACGAUUGCUCACUGGGCUACGACUUCGGGAAUAACUCCGACUAUAGCUUCGACGAUUCCCACGUCCAUUGUGUUCCCUACUGUGACUUCUACUUCUACUUCUCGAAUAACUGCGAUCUUUACCAUUACGUCCACCCCGAGACCGCCAUCUAUUUCUUCCACCUAAGAGCAAUCGUUCGUUUAUCAAAUAAAUCUAUACGUUUCUGUUUAGGAAAAUUAAAUUUUGGCAAUAUGAUUACCUCUGUGCCUGCCGUAUCCACCACUCUUAUUAUCGGCUAGUUCCAGUAACUUUGGAUUUAUAACUUGAUUCGCUUCUUUUAGUACCUGGAUUAGGUCGUUAGCCUUAUUGGAAUUAUUAGGUGUAAAAAAGGUAUACGCUGUACCAGUUUUUUGCCGACGACCAGUACGACCGAUUCGAUGAACAUAAUCUUCUGAACAGGAGGGGUAAUCAAAAUUGAUGACAAACUUGACGUCUUCAACGUCUGAAAUAAAGCAUACGUAUUAGCUGUUAAUUAGUGGAAGCAUCCGCCCUCCAAGACAGACAUUUGUUAAGAUAGUAGUAAUGACCAGGCGUAUAUAAAAGUAUCAAUCAUUUAUUCUGAAUAAAUAUGUUCAUUAAUACGCUCUCCAACUGAUAUGUAAUUAAAUCUUUAGAAGUAUUUACUUUUAAUUGCAUUUAAUUUAAUAUCCAAGUAAAAUGAUAAUGUUGAAAAAGAAUGGAAAAGAAUACUAACGUUUCUUUAGAGAGCGUUUUGACUACAUUAUAAAAUUCUGAAAUAAAGAUAAAUUUCCGCGCGUAAACAAUUCUGGUUUCCUUUGCUAAAUUACUAAUUGCAAUAAAUUCAUUUUGACAAACUUUGCAAAAGAGCACAUUAUUAUAAACAUAGAAAAAAUUACUUGAUCAUUUGUUUUUCGUUUUAAUAUAAUGAUUACAUUUUUAAGGAACGAAAAAAUAAAAAUAAACGAUAAUGAAACCAGAAUUGAUACAUAUAAAAUCUUAUUUGAUACGAUAGUUAGUAAUUGUGAAGAUGUAGUGAUAUAGUUAUCGUAAAGGACUUAGAAGGAUGAAGGAAAUGUGAAUUCAAGUGGAUAUAAAAUGUGAUAAAUGUGUAUGUAUACAGAGAUAUACAUACACAUAUACAUAUAUAUACAGCUAGGAAAUGUUUUAGAAAAUGUGUUCUAUUUAACACCUUAGAAAUUCUUGAACAAAAGACAAGAAAGCUCUUGUCAAUUUUGUGUGAUCAUUAGUCAACAACUUUCUCAAUUCACAUCAAAUAUUAUAUUCAAGUUAUUUCACAUUAUGAAAUGGUAUUUUUUUAAAAAUUAUCCUGUACAAUGUAAAGUUGAUAAAUGAUGACCACAUGAAAAUAUCAAAAAUUAACUUAUCCUUGACUCAGGAAUUUCUUAUGCAUUCUACUGUAUCACAUUUUAUAAAACAUUUCCUUAUGUAUGUAUAUGCAAAAAGUGUACAUAUAGAAUCCCCUAGAAAAAUACAUCUAAACUAUAUAACAUCGAUGUUCCAAUCUAAGAUGUUUUUGAUUAGAUGAAAUGUUCGUGCACCUUUUAAUAAAGAAGAUAUUUAAUUAAGAACUUCGUUAAUAAACAUAUUAAUAAGUAAGUAAAGUACACGUUAACGAUGGUAUCUUCUAAACUAGCAGGUACGCAACAUUCAAUGUUGAUCAAAGUGUCUGUUCAAUCAAGAAUCAUCUUAGACCUAGCUGAAAGAAGGAUGUGAUACAGUGAAAUUGCUUUCUUUUUCUAGGUGAUUCUAAUUCUGUAUAUAGCUAUAUAUAUAUAGCGAUUAAUUUUAAGAUUACUGUUAUACUAAAAUUAGGCAGUGGGUGAGUGUCGCUAGCAACGUACGGGCAGGGCCUGGCUGUUUGCGCUCGCUCCAGCUACAGCCUCCGCCAUUCUGUUGCUACAGGGCACACUUAGAGGCUCUGGCAUCAGCUACCAUGCCACCGCCUCAUUGGACCGUUGUUGGGUCUGAUUAGCUUGAGCGGCCAGCGCAGGGGAUUCUAUUCUGGCAACAACGACUUGGCCAGCCCAGAUGGCGUACAGCGUAGCGUAGAACUGAUAUCCAGUAUGUAGGAGAUUAUUUGACAUUUGAACUAAUGUACCGUGAGAUGAAUAAAUUUGAAUGAAGUGGAAAGUUCUGUAAAAAGUAUUGUGAUGAUUAAAAGCAGUAAGGUUGAAAGGUGAUAAUGAAUACACGCGGAAACCUUGAACGGCGAACGUGUAACGAGAAACAAUAUGCAUGAUCUAAUAAGACGAAGCAAAGAGGUGGUCGCGCGAGAAAUGUGAUGAGAAAUCGUGCGGACGUCAACGGCAGCAGCAACUUUCAGGAUCAUCAUCGGUUCUUCAUUUUUUGUCAUGUAACAGCUACGAUACAAUGAGAAACGGGACGAUUACAACGCGUGCUGAUGUUUACGCAGAAGAAAUUCCCUGCACAUCUGAUAGGAGGACGGAUGGGGCGCGCGAAUCGCUGCGUUGAAGGAAAAGGAUAGACGAUUCGAAAAUUCGAAACAGCACGAUUCACGUGCGAUGGCAAUGAUUCUAAUUGAUCGAGAACGAUAAUUAUCAGAAUUUCCACGAAAAUG